rnacentral:lncRNA from 1 species
UCACUGCUGUGUCCCCCUCACCUCACGGGGCCAGGCGUGGUGGCGAGGCCUGGGUGCGCAGAGGCUGGGACACUGCUCCCGACACUUGGUGUGUAGCAGCAGCUGGCACUGGCAGCACUUGAUGGCAGUCUUCCCAAAGCGGAUGCGGGAACCACAGACGUGACAUGGCUCAGGGCGAAUCACCUGGAUAGGGGGAACUGGAUUCAGGGGCCCCCCUUCUUGCGGAUACCCAGUACCACUCAGUCUUCUCCCAGCCAGGUCCCACUGUCUCCAUGCGUUCCCCUUGCAGGCAGAGCUAAGGGACUGGGGAAUGAAGGACAGCCUUGCCCCCAUAACUCUCUCCCCUGCCCACCUCCCCAGAGAAGAGAGAUGCUGGGUCACGCACCGUUUUGGAGGCAAACUUGUGCUGGACUGGUGGGAGACUCUGUGGAGGUGAGGGGAAGUGGGCUGGUGCUGGCUGUCCCACUGAGCUGCCCUCAGUGUGGCUCUCCUGCCCCACAGCAUGGCAGCCCAGAUCUUCACUGGUGCCGCACACCGUGGUCAGCUCUGCAGAGGGAGGAGGCAGUGGAGGGAGACCUGAAAGGCAAGCCACUCCAUCUAUCAGCCCCUUCUGUGACCUGCACACGUGGAGACACGGUGUCCCUGGCGAGAGUGGCGUCGAGGCACCAGAACAGCAGGCAGGAGGCUGUCAGCAGGGCCUGGGACCUCAGCAGGAGGAGACACAGAGGGGACACUCGCCUGUCAAAGUGGGAGACCAAUAAAAUAUGUGACUGCAGUUCCCUCCCACAUGAUCUCUGUUCCACCUAAUGUCCAUCCCUGUGGUCCUGCACAGCCAGGGAUGCUCCCACCUUGGGUACAGGGGGGAUGCAGGCUUCAGGGCAGUGGUCUAGCACAGCCAAGGAUGCUGUCCCCACUGGGACAAGGUGAUACAGCCUGAAGGACACACAGGCACCCAGAGGAGACAGCUGAGCACAGGACUGAGGGCUGCAGCAUUGCCUUCUGGCACUGGGAAAGCCCAUGCACCCCGUCCCUGCCCAGGGCACACUGGGGUCUCUACUCACAACGUUAUGGGGUACCACAGAAGAACGGUGCCGCUUUGCCAUCACCACAGGGCCAACCUGAGGGGCCAGGGACACACGCUGGAAACAGAAGAUAGCAUGAAGAGCCAGCAGAGACCCCCCCUCCCCGACUUUUCCCCACAUCCCAGAGCACCCAAGACAAGUGGCCUCAACCCAACAAAAAGUCCCAAUCUCGCUCUACUUCCUCAGCACUCCCUGCCCCACACCAGGGAUCAUGGGGACCCAGGCUUCCCCACUGGGUCAGAGCCAGCCCUGGGGCUGGGGGAAGCCAGGUCAGGCCUGCAAUGCAGAGGUGCGAGCAGAGUGGGGUGCAGGAUGCCCGCACAUGGCAAUGAAUUAUUGAGGAG